rnacentral:lncRNA from 10 species
GAAAUUUUGAGAUUUUUUUUCAUUUGAAGGUAAUCUUAAUGCUAUUAAAUUCACAAAUGCUAAUUUAAAUACCCAAUCCUAUUUAUCUAAAACACACAUUGCAAACACACAAAUUAUCUAUUCUCUCCACAUGUCAGCGCCCAUUCAUAUCAUGGUUUGGAAAUGGGGAGAAUAGAUUCCCCUUAAACUGCAAGUCAGCAGGUGUUUCUUUACAGUUAACUUUAGCAAAAUUCAUACAAAAUAGUAAUUAACAAUGAUCUUCUUUACUUGUUAACUCACAAGGAAACACCUUCGAAACUGCAUUUUGUUAAAGUUUCUGUACUAAAAUGUAGAAAAACUGAACUACACAAAUAUUGAAAAGUUAAAAAUUCCUUAAUUUUUUAUUCCUGGUACCACUACCACAAUUUACAGGGCAAUAUACCUGAUGUAAUGAAAAGAAAAAGAAAAAGACAAAGCUACAACAGAUAAAAGACCUCAGGAAUGUACAUCUAAUUGACACUACAUUGCAUUAAUCAAUAGCUGCACUUUUUGCAAACUGUGGCUAUGACAGUCCUGAACAAGAAGGGUUUCCUGUUUAAGCUGCAGUAACUUUUCUGACUAUGGAUCAUCGUUCCUUCUGUGGCAGAUUUUUACAGUUCCUCUAAUGCAUUUGGGACGACUGUCUCAAAGUAACCUGCAGCUUUCCUGACAACUCCUCGCUCUCUCUCCUGCUAAGAACUGUAGCCUGUUGAAUACCUUUUCUGCUGUUUUUAGAACCUUCUGC